rnacentral:rRNA from 1 species
CAGGGCGGCGGCUUACACAUGCAAGUCGAGCGAGGUUUUCGGACCUAGCGGCGGACGGGUGAGUAACGCGUGGGAACGUGCCCUUUGCUACGGAAUAGUCCCGGGAAACUGGGUUUAAUACCGUAUGUGCCCUUUGGGGGAAAGAUUUAUCGGCAAAGGAUCGGCCCGCGUUGGAUUAGGUAGUUGGUGGGGUAAUGGCCCACCAAGCCGACGAUCCAUAGCUGGUUUGAGAGGAUGAUCAGCCACACUGGGACUGAGACACGGCCCAGACUCCUACGGGAGGCAGCAGUGGGGAAUCUUAGACAAUGGGGGCAACCCUGAUCUAGCCAUGCCGCGUGAGUGAUGAAGGCCCUAGGGUUGUAAAGCUCUUUCAGCUGGGAAGAUAAUGACGGUACCAGCAGAAGAAGCCCCGGCUAACUCCGUGCCAGCAGCCGCGGUAAUACGGAGGGGGCUAGCGUUGUUCGGAAUUACUGGGCGUAAAGCGCACGUAGGCGGACUGGAAAGUUGGGGGUGAAAUCCCGGGGCUCAACCCCGGAACUGCCUUCAAAACUAUCAGUCUGGAGUUCGAGAGAGGUGAGUGGAAUUCCGAGUGUAGAGGUGAAAUUCG